rnacentral:rRNA from 1 species
AGAUGCAUUUAUUAGAUAAAAAACCAAUACAUGCUUUUAAAGUAUGGAAUUUGGUGAUUUACAAUAACUUAGCAAAUCGCAUAGUGAAAACAGGCGAUAAAUCAUUCAAGUUUCUGACCUAUCAGCUUUCGACGGUAUGGUAUUGGCUUACCGUGGCAGUGACGGUUAACGGGGGAUUAGGGUUCGAUUCCGGAGAGGGAGCCUGAGAAACGGCUACCACAUCUAAGGAAGGCAGCAGGCGCGCAAAUUACCCAAUUCUAACAGCAUAAGAGAGGUAGUGACAAGAAAUAACAAUACAAGGCAGUUAAAAUGCUUUGUAAUUGGAAUGAUAGAAAUUUAAACACUUUUUAAAGUAUCAAUUGGAGGGCAAGUCUGGUGCCAGCAGCCGCGGUAAUUCCAGCUCCAAUAGCGUAUAUUAAAAUUGUUGCAGUUAAAAAGCUCGUAGUUGAAUUUCUGCUAAAAAUAACCGGUCUGCUUUUAAUAAAGGUGGUAUCUUGGUGUGUUUUUAGCAAUAAUGUCCUUUGAAAUGUUUAUUACUUCAUUGUAAUAAAUUAUUUUCAGGAUUUUUACUUUGAGAAAAUUAGAGUGUUUCUAGCAGGCUAACGCUUUGAAUACUGCAGCAUGGAAUAAUAAGA